rnacentral:rRNA from 1 species
UACGAAGGGGGCGAGCGUUGUUCGGAAUUACUGGGCGUAAAGGGCUCGUAGGCGGCCAACUAAGUCAGACGUGAAAUCCCUCGGCUUAACCGGGGAACUGCGUCUGAUACUGGAUGGCUUGAGAUUGGGAGAGGGAUGCGGAAUUCCAGGUGUAGCGGUGAAAUGCGUAGAUAUCUGGAGGAACACCGGUGGCGAAGGCGGCAUCCUGGACCAACACUGACGCUGAGUGAGCGAAAGCCAGGGGAGCAAACGGG